AGUGCUGAAAAUUACAUCUCAAGAGGAAAAGGUUUUGCAGGAGAUGCUUCUUUUUCAUGACAGGAGUGGUCUUCAGGACAUGAACCCACGCUAAAGACAACUAGAAGAGUGAAGAAGCCCUUGGCAUCUGUCGUCAUCCUGACAGGUGAAUGGGAACAUUGACAGGAUUGGAAUCUAACGUCAACUCUUAUGGCUCUGUCUAGGCCCAAGGGUGUAAAAGAUCAGAUGGCCGGCUUUCGUCGAGGGAGCCAAUGCUGGCAACCUGAGCGGUUAUCCACCCAACCCUUUUCUACAGCGCCCUUUUUCUCUCAGCAAGCAACAUCAUAAGCCUGUCAUGAGACCAAAUGAGCCACCACUGCGUCAAGAAGCUUCAUUUAGCCAUCACUGUUCUAUUGGGGGAGACAAUCAACCUCUGAUGCCACCUGCUGUCAACACUGUUGUUGUCCAACAUGCCUCCUAGCAUGCAUUGCAGCGCUACAUAUGUACAUAAGAAUCAAAAUUCAUGUUCUGUGCUAGUUUUUUCUUCAGUUGCUGUUCUAGUUGUUUCAUUAAUUGCUAGAUAUGGAAUUUGGUAACACUUUAUUUGACAGUGGCGCCAUAAGACUGUCAUAAGACCAUCAUCAUUAUAAUAUGACACUACCAUGAGAAUUAAUGAAUGGUUAUGACAGACAUCAUUUUGUGUCAUCCGGCAAAUUAUCUCACUUUUGUUUGAGUUUAAGUGGAUAAAAUAAUUGCUGUCUGUGGUUCUAAUAAUAGGUUGC